ensembl:lncRNA
AUGUUUACCACCCGUCUCUGUACCUCUGUCUACCUGUUCAUUACAGCUUCAAAUACACCUUUUCCUUCCUUUUUUAAAAUUCUUUCUCCCUCCCUUUCUUUCCUUCUUCCUCUCUUUCUUUCUUUCUCUUUUUCUCAGACCCCCCCUCCUACUAUCUCUUCUUCUGUGCACGCCCCUCCCUCUCCUCUUCUUCUGUGUCACGGUGCUCACCCCCUCCCCCCUCUCUCUCUCUCUCUCUCUCUCUCUCUCUCUCUCUCUCUCUGUCUGUCUGCCUCUCUCUCCCAGCCCUCUUGGCAGCGGUGCCAAAGUGGGCAGGCAGAGCAGCAUGAGCGCAGUGCUAGGCAGAGUGGAGGGUUAUCCAGGGGCUGGCAGUCAGAACUAGCGUAUGUAUGCGUGUGUUCCGAGUCCUGUGUGUUUGUGAGCAUCAGUCUUCUCGUUAAUGUGACACCAUGGUUCGGGUGUGUGUGUGUGUGUGUGUGUGUGUGUGUGUGUGUGUAUCCGAGCAUUAUAUUUCCGUAUUGCGACCGUACGCAAUUGUGUGGUAGAGUUUAUUUCUUUCUUUUUUCAGUUUUUAGAUUUCUCUCUUUGGGAACAGGGUGCAAGAUACUGGCAAUGGUUCUCCGCGUGGGUUUUUUGAGGUGUGUGUGUGUGUGUGUGUGCGUGUGUGCGUCCUCGUGUGUGUGUGUCAGCAGACAUCCCUCUGUCACCCAGUGUAUAGACAGACGCAGUCACGCCAGUAGGAGGGGAUUGUGGGAAGGGGGUGUAGCUGUUAGAGAUUGUGCUCUCCUUCUCUCUUCCCCCCUCUUCCCGCCAUCACGGCCCUCUUCUCCUCCAGUCCUCUUGCCCAGGCCGGCGCUCACACACAGGCUCCAGCUGAGCUCACUUCCUGAAGGCAGCCCCCACUUAGCUGAUUGGUUGAUAUCUCGCUUACCCAGCCGUUGCUGCAGUAAAGCAACAGGAAGUGCGCCUGUUCUGGCAGGAAACAACAACAGCAGCUCCAUACUUGGACAUGAAUCUCAUCUGUGAGGAUCCUGGAUGUUGCAACACAAGAAUGCUGUCCUUGGGGCUGAG